rnacentral:rRNA from 1 species
UAGAGUUUGAUCCUGGCUCAGAACGAACGCUGGCGGCAGGCUUAACACAUGCAAGUCGAGCGCCCCGCAAGGGGAGCGGCAGACGGGUGAGUAACGCGUGGGAAUCACCUUUUGCUACGGAAUAACUCAGGGAAACUUGUGCUAAUACCGUAUGUGCCCUUCGGGGGAAAGAUUUAUCGGCAAAGGAUGAGCCCGCGUUGGAUUAGCUAGUUGGUGGGGUAAAGGCCCACCAAGGCGACGAUCCAUAGCUGGUCUGAGAGGAUGAUCAGCCACACUGGGACUGAGACACGGCCCAGACUCCUACGGGAGGCAGCAGUGGGGAAUAUUGGACAAUGGGCGCAAGCCUGAUCCAGCCAUGCCGCGUGAGUGAUGAAGGCCCUAGGGUUGUAAAGCUCUUUCACCGGUGAAGAUAAUGACGGUAACCGGAGAAGAAGCCCCGGCUAACUUCGUGCCAGCAGCCGCGGUAA